rfam:TPA: Bos taurus chromosome 7, whole genome shotgun sequence.
UCCCUGGUGGCUCAGAUGGUAAAGAAUCUGCCUGCAAUGCAGGAGGCCCAUGUUCCAUCCCUGGCUGAGGAA